UGGGGAAUAUUGGACAAUGGGCGCAAGCCUGAUCCAGCCAUGCCGCGUGAGUGAUGAAGGCCCUAGGGUUGUAAAGCUCUUUCACCGGUGAAGAUAAUGACGGUAACCGGAGAAGAAGCCCCGGCUAACUUCGUGCCAGCAGCCGCGGUAAUACGAAGGGGGCUAGCGUUGUUCGGAUUUACUGGGCGUAAAGCGCACGUAGGCGGACUUUUAAGUCAGGGGUGAAAUCCCGGGGCUCAACCCCGGAACUGCCUUUGAUACUGGAAGUCUUGAGUAUGGUAGAGGUGAGUGGAAUUUCGAGUGUAGAGGUGAAAUUCGUAGAUAUUCGGAGGAACACCAGUGGCGAAGGCGGCUCACUGGACCAUUACUGACGCUGAGGUGCGAAAGCGUGGGGAGCAAACAGG
rnacentral:rRNA from 1 species